rnacentral:rRNA from 1 species
UACGGAGGGGGCUAGCGUUGUUCGGAAUUACUGGGCGUAAAGCGCGCGUAGGCGGACCUGCAAGUCGGGGGUGAAAGCCCGAGGCUCAACCUCGGAACUGCCUUCGAUACUGAGGGCCUUGAGACCGGAAGAGGUCGGCGGAACUGCGAGUGUAGAGGUGAAAUUCGUAGAUAUUCGCAAGAACACCAGUGGCGAAGGCGGCCGACUGGUCCGGUUCUGACGCUGAGGCGCGAAAGCGUGGGGAGCAAACAGG